CACCGCCCGUCAGUCGCCUCAAUAAGGUUUGGUAGAAAGUACAAACCUUAAUAGUAUUUUGGUAGUAUAUAAUGCUUGGUUUUUAAAGAGGCGAUAAGUCGUAACAAGGUUUGUGUAUCUGAA
rnacentral:rRNA from 1 species